ACUUGUGCUGUUAAUCAUCUGGUUCUCUCCAGUGCAUUUCCAGCCCAGCCAGCAUCAGUUUUCGCCGGGGGAUAAGACUUCGGAAUGGCUCCCUCGGGAGUGUAUAUGCCCGUUGUAAUACCCUGGUGGGACUGAGGUUCGCGCUUCUGCAAGAUGCUGCGUAAUGGUCAUCAACGACCCGUCUUGAAACACGGACCAAGGAGUCGUCUUCGUAGCGAGUGUUCGGUGUCAACCCUACGCGUAAUGAAAGUGAACGCAGGUGAGAGCUCGGCGCUCAUCGACCGAUCCGAGUUCUCGAUGAUUGAGUAAGCAUACGGGCCGACCCGAAGAAGUGAACAUGCCUGUGAGGUGAAGCCAGAGAAACUCUGGUGGAGCUCGCAGCGGUCGACGUGCAAAUCGAUCGUCAAACAUGGCAUGGGCGAAAGACUAAUCGAACCUUCAGUAGCUGGUUCCGCCGAAUUUCCCUCAGGAUAGCAGUGUGAACUCAGUUUAUGAGGUAAAGCGAAUGAUAGGGACUCGGGGGCGCUAUUUACCUUCAUCCAUUCCAACUUUAAAUAUGUAAGAACCUUGGCUUAAUUGAACGUGAGCAUUCGAAGUAUCAACACUAGUGGCCAUUUUUGGUAAGCAGAACUGGCGAUGCGGGAUGAACCGAACGCGAGGUUAAGGUGCCAGAGUAGACGCUCAUCAGACACCACAAAAGGGUUAGACAUCUGACCAGCAGACGGAGGCCAUGGAAGUCGGAAUCCCUAAGACUGUGUACAACACUGCCGAAUGUACUAGCCUGAAAAUGAUGGCGCUCAAGCGUCUCACCCAUACUCGCCCCAGUAGAAACGAAGCCCUAGGAGUAGGCGACGGGAGCAGUGACGAAGCCUAGGCGUGAGCCGGGUUGAACGCCUAGUCAGAUCUGGUGGUAGUAGCAAAUACUUCAAUGAGAACUGAAGGACCGAGGGGAAAGUUCCAUGUGAACAGCGUUGACAUGGUUAGUCGAUCCUAAGCUAUAGGGAAGUCCGUUCAAAGCGCACUUGCGCCGUCAGCGAAAGGGAGCGGUCAAUAUCCGGCACCUGGAUGUAGGUUUGCGCGGCAACGCAACUGAACUGGAACGACGCGGGCCCAACAGAGUCUCUUUCUCUUUAACAGUCUCUCACCCGAAAUCGUUGUCCGAGCUAGGUUUAAUGCUGGAAGACCCGGCACCUCUGCCGGUUUGUGCGCUCUCGACGUCCCUGAAAAUCCACGGAAGAAAUAAUCUCACGCCAGUCGUACUCAAACCGCAGCAGUCUCAAGGUAACAGCCUCUGGUUGAUAGAACAAUGUAGAUAAGGAAUCGGCAAAAUAGAUCCUAACUUCGGGAAAAGGAUUGGCUCUAAGGUGGCACGUUGGCCUUGGCGGACGUCCUGGAGCAGGCCGCCACUAUCGGGCAACCGACCGAGCGGCCAGCAUCCGGGCUGAUGCCUUGGCAGCUCGGCCGUCCGGCGUGCGUUAACAACCAACUUAGAACUGUACGGACAAGGGAAUCUGACGUCUAAUUAAAACAUAGCAUGCGAUGGCCAGAAAGGGUGUGACGCAAGUGAUUCUGCCCAUGCUCUGAAUGUCAAGUGAGUAUCAACCAAGCGCGGUAAACGCGGAUAACAUGACUCUUAAGUAGCCAAUGCCCGUCAUCUAAUGUGACGCGCAUAAUGGAUAACGAAUUCCCACUGUCCCUAUCUACUAUCUAGCGAAACCACAGCCAAGGGAACGGGCUGGCAGAAUCAGCGGAAAGAAGACCCUGUUGAGCUUGACUCUAGUUGACAUUGUGAAAAGACUAGAGGUGUAGAAUAGGUGGAGCUUCGGCGCCGGUGAAAUACCACUACUCCUAUGUUUUUUACUUAUUCAAUGAAGCGGGCUGAUUUACGUCCAACUUCUGGUUUUAAGGUCCUUCGCGGCCGACCCGGUUGAAGACAUGUCAGUGGGAGUUGCUGGGCGGCACAUCUGUUAAACCAUAACGCAGUGUCCUAAGGGGGCUCAUGGAGAACAGAAUCUCCAGUAAACAAAAGGUAAAAUCCCCUUGAUUUGAUUUCAGUGUGAAUACAAACCAUAAAGUGGCCUAUCGAUCCUUAGUCCCUCGACAUUUAGGCUAGAGGCAAAAAGUACCACAGGAUAACUGCUGUGCGGCCAGCGUCAUACGACGUCGCUUUUGUCUUCGAUUCGGCUCUUCCUAUCAUACCGAAGCAGAAUUCGGUAAGCGUUGAGUUCACCACUAAUAGGGAACUGACUGGUUAGACCGUCGUGAGACAGUUAGUUUACCCUACUGAUACCUCAACGCAUGGUAAUUCAGCUAUACGAGAGAACGCUGAUCAAUAAUUGGUUUUGCGCUGUCCGACCGGCAGUGCGCGAAGCUACCAUCUGCUGAUAAUGGCUGAACGCCUCUAAUCAGAACCAUCCAGAAACGCGUGAUACCACCGCACGUAUAGAUGACAAGAAUAGCUCGGCUUAGCGUCUUAGCAGCGAUUCCUCCACGCGCUCGAACGCGUCGUGGUAUUCGCGUAUUGU
rnacentral:rRNA from 1 species